rnacentral:rRNA from 1 species
UACAGAGGGUGCAAGCGUUGUUCGGAAUUAUUGGGCGUAAAGCGCGUGUAGGCGGCUUUGCAAGUCGGGUGUGAAAGCCCUCGGCUCAACCGAGGAAGUGCGCCCGAAACUGCAGAGCUUGAGUACCGGAGAGGAUGGCGGAAUUCCCCAAGUAGAGGUGAAAUUCGUAGAUAUGGGGGAGGAACACCGGUGGCGAAGGCGGCCAUCUGGACGGAUACUGACGCUGAGACGCGAAAGCGUGGGGAGCAAACGGG